GGAAUUUUAAAAUAACGCUUUAUUGGCUGUGUUUCACUUGUGUAUUAUGCAUGCUUAUUUUAUUUUACUGCAUAUGGUGUGUACUGUAAUAUUAAUUGUAGUGCCCCUACUAGAUGUUCCUUAUGUAUAUUAGUUCCUUGUAUAUUAGUUGUAUUUGUUUGAGAAUGUACAUUGACCAUCUGAUUUUAUUUUCUUACAGUUGCUGAUGGACACAUUGUAUUAAUUGACCCUCCUGUAACAGCACGUCCUGCCACAGUUGUAACUGAUUAUUGUCUUCAGCCGCCUGCAAAGGAGCUGUAUGUAUAAGGACCAUCUUCAAAUGCAAAUGAGACAAAGUGACAUGGAGAUGGACCUUCUACAACUUCAAAUGGAGGAAAAAAAGGUGAACAUAAAAAAGGCCAGGCUUGAAACUGAAUUGCUGAAACACUGACUAACGGAAAUAAAGAAACAACCACACUCAACUGUUUAUUUUGUGCAUUAGUCUUUCAAUUAGAAGUGAUUUUGGCAGCUCACGUCUCGCACCAUCCUGCUAUCUCUUUAGUCCACUGGGUUAACCGGGGGUUCCUCUUGAUCAUCUUCAUAAAGAGCAGGGGGCCUCAAAAUAUUCUGGAAUUGUGUACAGACCCUCACACCUUUUAGAUUUUUCGAUAUUUAAUCAAAUAAACUAUCAAAUCAUGUGUAAAUAUUGGCAUGUAUUUCACUACCAAAUGGGCUCAUACACAAAAUAUACCAUAAUUUAAAGCUCAAUAGCAUUUGAAGGGAA
ensembl:lncRNA